UGACUGAGUGGCGGACGGGUGAGUAACGCGUGGGCAACCUGCCCCUACCGGGGGAUAACAGCCGGAAACGGCUGCUAAUACCGCAUAUGCUUUGCGGGCCGCAUGGCCCGCAAAGCAAAACUCCGGUGGUACGGGAUGGGCCCGCGUCUGAUUAGCUGGUUGGCGGGGUAACGGCCCACCAAGGCGACGAUCAGUAGCCGGCCUGAGAGGGCGGCCGGCCACAUUGGGACUGAGACACGGCCCAGACUCCUACGGAAGGCAGCAG
rnacentral:rRNA from 1 species